AUGUGGGGACCCAGCACAGGGAUGUGGGGACACGGUGAUGGGGUCGGGGCCACCAGCAGCACCAUAACCCCAACCAUCACCACCAGCACUUUUGGCGCACGAUGGGGGGACCUUGGUGGUGACUCAAUUGUCUCCUUCCUCUCUCCCUCCCCAGGGCUGCGGGCGGCCGUGGAGCUGACGGAGUCCGGAGGGGGCACCGUGACACCCGGGGGGUCCCUCACCCUCCGCUGCAAGGCCUCCGGCUUCACCUUCAGCAACUUCAACAUGUUCUGGAUUCGACAGGCCCCUGGGAAGGGGCUGGAGUUCGUUGCAGAAAUUAGCUACAAUGGUAAAUACACAGCCUACGCGCCGUCGGUGAAGGGUCGCUUCACCAUCUCCAGGGACAACUCCCAGAGCACGGUCACGCUGCAGAUGAACAGCCUCAAGGAGGACGACACGGCCACCUACUACUGCGCCAAAAAUGCUGAUAGUGGUAGUGCUUGUGCUUAUGCUGGUGGUGGCCCCAACCCCAUCACCGUGUCCCCACAUCCCUGCGCUGGGUCCCCACAUCUACCUCAAACCCUUCACCCAACCCAGGUCCUUGUCCCGAACUUUGACCCUUUCCUUCAUCCUUGA